rnacentral:rRNA from 1 species
GAUGAACGCUGGCGGCGUGCCUAAUACAUGCAAGUCGAGCGAACAGAUAAGGAGCUUGCUCCUUUGACGUUAGCGGCGGACGGGUGAGUAACACGUGGGUAACCUACCUAUAAGACUGGGAUAACUUCGGGAAACCGGAGCCAAUACCGGAUAAUAUUUCGAACCGCAUGGUUCGAUAGUGGAAGAUGGUUUUGCUAUCACUUAUAGAUGGACCCGCGCCGUAUUAGCUAGUUGGUAAGGUAACGGCUUACCAAGGCGACGAUACGUAGCCGACCUGAGAGGGUGAUCGGCCACACUGGAACUGAGACACGGUCCAGACUCCUACGGGAGGCAGCAGUAGGGAAUCUUCCGCAAUGGGCGAAAGCCUGAAGGAGCAACGCCGCGUGAGUGAUGAAGGUCUUCGGAUCGUAAAACUCUGUUAUUAGGGAAGAACAUACGUGUAAGUAACUGUGCACGUCUUGACGGUACCUAAUCAGAAAGCCACGGCUAACUACGUG